UAGGUUUGCCUUCAGCUUGGUGGUUUCUUUAUAUCUUGAUGUGCAUCUCUCAUCUACCUUUCAAAGGAAGUGCAAUUCCCACCCUCUUGCAUGCAAAAAAUCACACCAGGAACACCCUCUGUGUGUCUAUUAACCACCAAAACAAUAUCAGUAGAACCCACUCUUCGCACAUGCUUACGGACCACCAACCCCCGCUCCCUUUCUACACCAAUUCAGCAGAGCAUGGCGGCACUUGAGUUUCAAAUGGGAAAUAAGCUUGAGAGGAGCUUAUUAUUCUUCUGCCUACCAAUAUUGGUCAUGAUAGCUGCUCAACACAGGUAGAUUCAAUACCAGAAAUGACAAAGUGUGCAAGGUGUUGCUUGCGCAACUCAAUCAGGAUAGUCAACCUGAUGAUGCUCUUGUGUGGGACUGGAAUCAUCAUAUAUUCACUUUGGCUGGAAAAGAAAUGGGAUCAAGGUAUUGCUAAGUUCCCUCAUAGGCAAUCUCCUCUAACACCAUGGUUUAUAUUCACAUUUUUAGGAGUGGGAAUUGUUGUCUGCUUAAGCACUGUCGGUGGUCAUAUUAUAGCUAAUUGCAUCAGCAAUUCUACUCUCCUUUUCUACAUUGUUGCCAUCUGCUGCCUUCUUUCCCUUGAGGCGACCAUGGUCGUCGCGAUUUUCUUCAAGACGAACUGGGGAAAGGUAUGCUUGCGCUAAGUUAUCUGAUUAAUAUAUAAAUGAGAUGCUCUUAGUAAUGUGACCAUAAUAUGGUCAAAGCUUAUCUCAACCAUUUUGAGACACAGAUUAGCAUCUACGGUUUAGUUAUUGGUAAAUUCGCAUUAUCUUGAAGCUAGGAAGGACAGGUGUGGUUUCCACAUCCCCUUUACCCAGCAUUUGGCUUGUUCUGCAGAAUAGUCUGAAAUCAAGUCUGAUUUAAUACGCUAUCUAUAUGAUCCCUGAGCCUACUUUCGAGUCUCCGUAUGAUGCCCAGAUGCUGUUCAAAAUUUCUGCAUACACGGGCGAAAAAAACACAUGCUUUGAGAUGUUUAUAUUGAUCCAUGUAAAGAUAAGCUGUGCAAUCACGAUCUUGAUUUUGGUGGCUCAGAGCAGUGUCGUUAUACUUGCUGCCAUUCUUUGGGCAGUAGGUAGGGAGCCAAGAACUGACUUUCUUGAGGUGGAUACCUCGGUUUUUAUUCAAUCCUUUCUGGUGCCAGCAGAAUCACCUGGAUUUGCAGAGAGACCAGGACAAGCUUGCAGAGGAUGUGGGACCAGUUUACCUCUAGGAGGAGGAAAUGCACCAAGAAGCUUUUUGUCACGUUUUAAGAGCUUACUCAGAAGGAGAUCUCAGAGAACAUACACAGUUUAUUAAUCUCCCCUCCACUCUCUUUCAGUUGAGCACAACAAAAGGUUUUGCAAGUUCUGUACAUUGUACCAAUGCUUAAGAUACAAUGUAUGGAGAAAUUUUGUAGGUUCAAUGAAAUCCUGGCUAGAAAAAUUGCGUAAA